AGCUGUUGCUGCUUUAGCCCAAACCAGCCAAAGAGGAGGUGAGGUGUGCGUUUAGCCACCUUGUUUGUGACUGUGGUACAGAGUGAUCGAUGCAAUGGAAGAGCCAAAGCCAUCCUGGUGACAGCCGGGUCCCUGCUCCCUGCCCACCCUGUGGCUCCACUCGGUGCAGCAUUGGUUCAGUUUACAUUGGGGCACCUUAGCACAAAAGUUAGGGUAAAAAGAUACUUCCUCUGAAACCGUGACGGAAAAGUAGGCGGAGACAGCAAGAUUUAUUCCUUGCUAAUUGCUUAAAUACCUUCUCAGACUGCAAAAUUCCCGUGCUGCGGAGGGAAGGAGAGGCGCAGCGCCCUGAGAUGCACAGCAGCACGGGGUUGGCCACGAGGGAGGUGGCAGAGUGUGAGCGCAGCGUGGUGUCCGAGCCCUGCGGACGGCCGUCGAGAUCCGAUCUUUCCCAGUUAAUUUUCCCAUUUGUUUGGUGGGUUUGGGUGUUUCCUGCCUCGUUGGCUGUGGGACUGUGGCGCAGGAGCUGCUCCCGGCCGGCACGUCAGUGUUACUCUUCCCUUUGUCUCUUACUGUUGCAAACCAAGAGGAAUGGAUGGUAUUUAUUGUAUAUAUUAGACAUUAGCAUUGUCACGGCCACUCCUUGGUCUGAAUGUUGGAGGCCUUUGGCUGCUCAUAUCGCUGCGGGACGGGGUGGGAUGACCGUGGUUUGGCUGCCACACUUUUGCAUUAAGGUGUGAUUUGGAGUGUUUAAUUCUUUUGUUCUGAAGAGGGGAAGAUAAAGCCUUUCUCUGGUUUUCUCUUGCUGGCCGUGAAGGAUAAUGCUGUACUUCUGGUGGGAGGUUGGACAGCAGUGUGUGUGUGCGUUGUGUUGGUACCAUAUCAGGUGGCUGUGGGAGCACCCCGGGUGGGCCCCGCCGCGCCGCCUCGCUCAGCACUUAGAUAAGAGGAAGCGUGGAAUCUCUGUGUUCUUAGAAACUUGAACAAUUGCCACAUAAUAGCGGUGCAAUAAUUUUUAUUCAUGUUGUACCUGCAUGUCGAUGUUCAAAUCCUCCUCCGAAAUAAAUUUUUUUUUUU
ensembl:lncRNA